AACUAGGUGAAAACCUAGAGCUGACCGAGUGCGAGAUCCUCAUGGAUAAUCAUCGAGGUCGUUAAACACCCCUUGCAGUAAACUUUGGUUAAAUUUAAAAAAAAUCGAAAUGUAAUAGUCUGAACACAUUUCACCUCUCAUUCCACUAAAUAUUAAAUUGCAGUUACAAGUAUCACAAAACUUCCCUGACCUCUUUUCUUUAACCAUAAUAGAGGGAGGAGGGAAGGAGGGAUCCAGAUCCCGAAAUCCCGGGCUUAAAAACACGAAAUCCGGCGAGGUCC
rnacentral:lncRNA from 1 species